UGCUUCCCCUCCACGUUGAUUUUUUCUCCUCCACGUUGGAUUUUUGGUUUCCUUAGUUUUUUUCCCCACCUUUGUUUUGCUAGCGCUGAAGAGGGAAACAAACUCAUAAAUCGCCUUCACGGAGGGGUUUUUUCUCUUCCUCAAUUCCUUCCCCAAAUGAGUGAAAUCGACAAAAACCCUGCCCACGUCGAAUUUUUUCUUCCUCGUUGAUUUCAUUGGUGAGCUAGAGUUACCUCCUUCGCAUCGCUCCCGCCAGAAACUCCCGCGGCAGACUUCGUCGGCGACGGCUGUUCAGAUCUGAAAUCUUGAUGGCAACCAACUUCGUCGGCGACGACGGCGUUCCCUUCGCUGACCCCCGAAUGGCGGCAGACUUCGUCUAGAAAUCAAGAACCUCACAGAUCUCUUUUUACUGUUGCUCUCUGUUUGCCUAGGUUUUCUACAAUUCGAGAAAGAUUCAGGUUUCGGAGAAGGAGCUCUCGAUUGGAGCUCUGAGGUCUUGCGUUUGGAUGUUUUAGUGCUAUAUUUUGUUUGUAGCGUUGAUUUAGCGAUCAAGAAUGGGCGAAGGUGAUAGGUACCAGCUAGGGACCGUUGGUGCCUUGAGCUUGUUGCUGGUUUCAUCGGUCUCGAUCGUGAUCUGUAAUAAGGCACUCAUGAGCUCGCUUGGAUUCACUUUCGGUGAGAGAUCUGUGAUUCCUUUUCCGUUUGACUAAUUUUAGGAGUAGAUUGCAAUUUUUUUUUUUUUUUUUGAAAUUUUGAAGUAAUUAGAUCGAAUUAAGAAUCUGGAGUCACAAAUAAUUAUGUAAUUAAACUGAUUUUGUUUGUUGUGUUGCUUUGAGUAGAAUGUCUCUUUCUGUAUCAAAAGGAUCAAAAUUUGGGGAUUUGUUGCUCUUA